rnacentral:snoRNA from 1 species
CUGCAGCCAGUUAAGGUGAAGGUGCUUUGUUCCCCAUGGGCCUGGUGUGCAAUGGCUGCAAACAGCAGCCUCCACCUUGGCCAGGUCAUCAUGUUCAUAUGCAGUA